GGUAGCUAUAGUUUAAAGGUAAAACCUUCGUAUGUGGAAUGAUAUAUCUGAGUUCGAGUCUCAGUAGUUGCC
rnacentral:tRNA from 3 species